CAUAGUCCAAAUUCAAGUCUAGAUCGCGUGGUUUGUGGAGCUGAGUCACAGGACCAUACCCUAGCUGGGAAAGCCAGAAUGUUCAGCUUUUCUGAGGAGAGAUGAUCUUGACUCCCACCAAGGCUUUCAAGAUUGUUUCCAAUCAGUGCCGUCAGAAAUAAUCAAGUUGUGGACAUUAUUUAAAAUUGUCUUCCCAUGGUCUCCACCUGUGGAUAUCCAGCAAUUUUUGAAAUCCAGCUCAAAUGUCACUAUCUCUCUUCUUUUGACCCCCUCCACAUACCCCAACCAUAUAUUAAACUUUUUAAGAAUAUGUCA